rnacentral:rRNA from 1 species
UGGGCCGAAACGGGGGUGGCAUUAAUAUAUCGGAACGUGCCCUGGAGUGGGGGAUAACUAGUCGAAAGAUUAGCUCAUACCGCAUACGAUCUAAGGAUGAAAUGGGGGAUCUCAAGACCUCCUGCUCAUGCAGCGGCCCCUCUCUGGUUAGUUACUUGGUGGGGUAAAAGCCUACCAAGGCGUCUAUCCCUAUCUCACCUGAUGGGGGUGGAGGGGGCACCUGAUCCGCAUGCCGCGUGAUGAGAAGCCUUCGGGUUGUAAGCUCUUUUGUCAGGGAAGAAACGGUGGGAGCUAAUAUCUUCUGCUAAUGACGGUACCUGAAGAAUAAGCACCGGCUAACUACGUGCCAGCAGCCGCGGUAAUACGUAGGGUGCGAGCGUUAAUCGGAAUUACUGGGCGUAAAGCGUGCGCAGGCGGUUGUGCAAGACAGAUGUGAAAUCCCCGGGCUCAACCUGGGAAUUGCAUUUGUGACUGCACGGCUAGAGUGUGUCAGAGGGGGGUAGAAUUCCACGUGUAGCAGUGAAAUGCGUAGAGAUGUGGAGGAAUACCGAUGGCGAAGGCAGCCCCCUGGGAUAACACUGACGCUCAUGCACGAAAGCGUGGGGAGCAAACAGGAUUAGAUACCCUGGUAGUCCACGCCCUAAACGAUGUCAACUAGUUGUCGGGUCUUAAUUGACUUGGUAACGCAGCUAACGCGUGAAGUUGACCACCUGGGGAGUACGGUCAAUGUUCGAAUGAGAACCUGCAAACAGGUGCUGCAUGGCUGUCGUCAGCUCUCUCGUGAGAUGUUGGGUUAAGUCCCGCAAUGAGCGCAACCCUUUUCAUUAGUUGCUACGAAAGGGCACUCUAAUGAGACUCCGGUGACAAACCGGAGGAAGGUGGGGAUGACGUCAAGUCCUCAUGGCCCUUAUGGGUAGGGCUUCACACGUCAUACAAUGGUACAUACAGAGGGCCGCCAACCCGCGAGGGGGAGCUAAUCCCAGAAAGUGUAUCGUAGUCCGGAUUGGAGUCUGCAACUCGACUCCAUGAAGUUGGAAUCGCUAGUAAUCGCGGAUCUAGCAUGUAGCGGUGAAUACGUUCCCGGGUCUUGUACUCACCGCCCUUUAUAAGAAAAGGGCGACG